GCUGAAAAAAUCGAGGAAGAAAAAGAAGAUAUAUUAGACAAGAUAAAUAAUGAAAAAAUAAAUAAAAGAUAAAGCAUCCACCACAGGUUUUUAACAUUUUUUGCUUCCAUUAUUUCAGAAAGAUUUAGCGGGAUAUUAGGAGUGG